UGAUCGGGUGUCAUUGGCUACAGGGAUUCCUAUCUUCCCCUUUCUCUAAUAUAUCUGCCGCAUGGAAAAGAACAACAUACCCAUUUCCCGCAAUGUUUAAUUUUUAAUCUCAUUCACUACCUCGCACAGUAGGUGGCGGCAAUACACCAAUAGGUUGUAGUAGUCUGCCAUUUAAGCUUAAAGAAGAAGAAAGAACAAACUAGAUAGCUACCAACCAUUGUGUGAAAAUGUCUAAUAUAGAGUUGUUGAGAUUGAUUUUCAACGAACGAUUUAGAGCGUGUCCUAAGCUUUUCAGAGCUGUUGAAAAGACCAUAACAGAGUACCAGGAAAAUGUUUCUCCAUCGAAAGAGGAGAACGACUGUGUAAAGAGGCUGCUUGAUUUCAUCCUUCUACCAGAGAUACAGUUACAUAGCUAAGCUUUUCAGAGCUGUUGAAAAGACCAUAACAGAGUACCAGGAAAAUGUUUCUCCAUCGAAAGAGGAGAACGACUGUGUAAAGAGGCUGCUUGAUUUCAUCCUUCUACCAGAGAUACAGUUACAUAGAGCAGAUCUCCAGAAAACCACAGUCUCUGAACAGGUUUCCCCUGAGCAGAACCAUUGUGAACAAGAAUGUAGCCUCAGUCUGGAGCAGGACUCAAAACCCACACAGAUUAAAGAGGAACAGGAGGAACUUAUGACCAGCCAUGGAGAAAAGCCAUUUAAAGAGCUGAAGUAUGAUACUAAAGACUGUAUUCAUUCCUUUCAGUGUGAAAAAACCUGAGCCCUAGGACCAUACGUCAGGACUACCGG